rnacentral:rRNA from 1 species
UACGAAGGGGGCUAGCGUUGCUCGGAAUUACUGGGCGUAAAGGGCGCGUAGGCGGCACUGUUAGUCAGGCGUGAAAGUCCUGGGCUCAACCUGGGAACUGCGCUUGAUACGGCAGAGCUAGAGGAUGGAAGAGGCUCGCGGAAUUCCCAGUGUAGAGGUGAAAUUCGUAGAUAUUGGGAAGAACACCGGUGGCGAAGGCGGCGAGCUGGUCCAUAACUGACGCUGAGAUACGAAAGCGUGGGUAGCAAACAGG